rnacentral:rRNA from 1 species
GGCUUCGGCCCGAGUUGUAAUCUGUAGAGGACGCUUUUGGCGCGGUGCCUUCCGAGUUCCCUGGAACGGGACGCCAUAGAGGGUGAGAGCCCCGUAAGGUCGGACACCAAGCCUCUGUAAAGCUCCUUCGACGAGUCGAGUAGCUUGGGAAUGCUGCUCUAAGCGGGAGGUAAACUUCUUCUAAAGCUAAAUACUGGCCAGAGACCGAUAGCGCACAAGUAGAGUGAUCGAAAGAUGAAAAGCACUUUGAAAAGAGGGUCAAAUAGUACGUGAAAUUGUUGAAAGGGAAGCGCUCAUGACCAGACUUGCGCCUGGCGGAUCAUCCGGCUGUCUCAGCCGGUGCACUCCGCCUGGCGCAGGCCAGCGUCGGCUGUUGCGGGGGGACAAAAGCACCGGGAACGUAGCUCUCCUCGGAGAGUGUUAUAGCCCUAUGCA